rnacentral:misc_RNA from 1 species
AAAAAAGAAAACCCACAUCUUCCCUCACCCAACUAGCCGAAUUCACUCUCUCUCCCUCCUCCUUUAGUGUCCACCAUUAAAGAGUUAUUCAACCUUGAAUAACUUGAUGCUCUUCCACUAAAAUUAACCCUAAACACUAGAAGGCUUCUUAAGAACACUAGACAAGAAGUAUAGAAGAAACAAGGAGAAAGAAAAAUAGAAAAUUGGAGUUUUGGGAAUCCAAAGCAAAGGUUAGUCUUCUAACUUCCAAUUAUCUAAUCAAAUGCAUGUUUAGUUAUUUAAAUGA